UCCCUGGUGACCGAUAGCGGAUAGUACCGUGAGGGAAUGGUGAAAAGUACCGCGGGAGCGGAGUGAAAUAGUACCUGAAACCGUGUGCCUACAAGCCGUGGGAGCGUCGCGCAGGGACUUGUCCUUGCGUCGUGACUGCGUGCCUUUUGAAGAAUGAGCCUGCGAGUUUGCGGUGUGUUGCGAGGUUAACCCGUGUGGGGAAGCCGUAGCGAAAGCGAGUCCGAACAGGGCGCUGUAGUAG
rnacentral:rRNA from 1 species